UACGUAGGGUGCGAGCGUUAAUCGGAAUUACUGGGCGUAAAGCGUGCGCAGGCGGUUUUGUAAGCCAGAUGUGAAAUCCCCGGGCUUAACCUGGGAAUGGCAUUUGGGACUGCAAGGCUGGAGUUUGGCAGAGGAGACUGGAAUUCCUGGUGUAGCGGUGAAAUGCGCAGAUAUCAGGAGGAACACCGGUGGCGAAGGCGGCAUCCUGGACCGACACUGACACUGAGGAGCGAAAGCCAGGGGAGCAAACGGG
rnacentral:rRNA from 1 species